AUUGAACGCUGGCGGCAGGCCUAACACAUGCAAGUCGAACGAGCGGCGGACGGGUGAGUAAUGUUUGGGAAUCUACCUUAUGGAGGGGGAUAACUACGGGAAACUGUAGCUAAUACCGCAUACUAUAGGAUGACCCCAUAUGGGAUUAGGUAGUAGGUGGGUUAAAGGCUCACCAAGGCGAAGAGCUCUAGCUGGUCUGAGAGGAUGACCAGCCACACGAGGACGGAGACACGGCCCAGACUCAUACGGGAGGCAGCAGUGGGGAAUAUUGCGCAAUGGUGGCAACCCUGACGCAGCCAUGCCGCGUGUAUGAAGAAGGCCUUAGGGUUGUAAAGUUCUUUCAGUGGGGAGGCGUUAACUGCAGAAGAAGCACCGGCUAACUCCGUGCCAGCAGCCGCGGUAAUUC
rnacentral:rRNA from 1 species